UUCCGGUUGAUCCUGCCGGACCUGACUGCUAUCGGAUUAAUACUAAGCCAUGCGAGUUUUUGUAGUAAUACAAGGCAUACGGCUCAGUAACACGUAGUCAACCUACCCUAUGGACGAGGAUAAUCUCGGGAAACUGAGCAUAAUACUCGAUAGAUCAUAAUGCCUGGAAUGGUUUAUGGUUGAAAUGAUUCGUUCGCCAUAGGAUGGGACUGCGGCCUAUCAGCUUGUUGGUGGGGUAAUGGCCCACCAAGGCGAUUACAGGUACGGGCUCUGAGAGGAGAAGCCCGGAGAUGGGUACUGAGACACGGACCCAGGCCCUAUGGGGCGCAGCAGGCGAGAAAACUUUGCAAUGUGCGAAAGCACGACAAGGUUAGUCCGAGUGAUUUCUGCUAAAGAAAUCUUUUGCCAGUUGUAAAACUACUAGUGAAUAAGGGGUGGGCAAGUUCUGGUGUCAGCCGCCGCGGUAAAACCAGCACCUCAAGUGGUCAGGAGGAUUAUUGGGCCUAAAGCAUCCGUAGCCGGCUUUGUUAGUUUUCGGUUAAAUCCAUGCGCUCAACGUAUGGGCUGCCGAGAAUACUGCAUAGCUAGGGAGUGGGAGAGGUAGACGGUACUCGGUAGGAAGGGGUAAAAUCCUUUGAUCUAUCGAUGACCACCUGUGGCGAAGGCGGUCUACCAGAACACGUUCGACGGUGAGGGAUGAAAGCUGGGGGAGCAAACCGGAUUAGAUACCCGGGUAGUCCCAGCUGUAAACGAUGCAGACUCGAUGAUGCAUUGGCAUAUAGCCGGUGCAGUGUCGCAGGGAAGCCGUUAAGUCUGCCGCCUGGGAAGUACGUACGCAAGUAUGAAACUUAAGGAAUUGGCGGGGGAGCACCACAGGGGUGAAGCCUGCGGUUCAAUUGGAGUCAACGCCCGGA
rnacentral:rRNA from 1 species